CAGUCGCCGCGGGAAUACGGAGGGUGCAAGCGUUGCUCGGAAUUAUUGGGCGUAAAGGGCGCGUAGGCGGUUUGGCAAGUCUUGUGUGAAAUCUUCGGGCUCAACCCGAAGCCUGCACGAGAAACUGCCGGGCUUGAGUAUUGGAGAGGUGAGUGGAAUUUCCGGUGUAGCGGUGAAAUGCGUAGAUAUCGGAAGGAACACCUGUGGCGAAAGCGGUUCACUGGACAAUUACUGACGCUGAGGCACGAAAGCUAGGGGAGCAAACAGGAUUAGAUACCCCCGUAGUCCCUGUCUCUUAUAC
rnacentral:rRNA from 1 species